CGACGUGUAAACAGUUAUAAUGCAGAGUGACAAGAGCGGCUGCCGCCGAGGCGAGGGCAGUUCCUUAAAGGAGGAUUUGGUGACCUCUGCUGGGAGAUGAGCCUUCCAGCCUGAACUGAGGCCGCCGGUGCAAGGAGAGGGGAGAUGGACACAGAACUCAGAAAGCUUUCUCAGGAAAACACUGGCUUGAAGAGCACUGGCCUGGGGGUGGGGUGGCUCCCCCUCGGAGGCUCUGGAACAGGCACAGGAAGAUGAGGCAUCCUCCCGUGCUCCCUACCGCUGCACGUUGGAAUCACUGGGAAAGUCUCAAAGCGCAUGAGCAAAUGAAGGCUCCGGGAAGUCCUGCAGUAAAGAAAUCUGGUUUGUUACACUUGGGGUUUCCCAUUAUAUCGACUGAGAAAACCUUUGUCUUGGUGAUUCUUUGUCUUGGGUGGCAGUGGGCUGGCGGCAGCAGCCUGGAGUUCUUCUGUGCCACAUAGUUUGGCCACCCUGUGGGGACACUUCUCCACAA